UGUCAGCUGAUGCUGAACAAACCAAUUGAUCACCUCAUUGGAGGUGGAGCCUGUAGGCUGUUGCAUCCUUGUCCGAUUCCUUGUCAGAAAAGCGGAGACCCAAAAUUGGCCGGUAACAGUAUGCCUCCAUGAAAGAAUGGCUACACUAUAAUUGGCCAUAAUAAAAGUAUAAAAUUAAACUACUGUAUACUUCAGUGGGCUGGAGUGUGGGGCUGGAUAACCAGGAGCUCAAAUCUUGCUGUGCCUCCUGGAGAGAUCACUGCUCUGCAUCCUUGAGCAAGCUAUGCACUCCCAUAUUACCACCAGAAGGAAGGACUGGUAAACCAUUGCUGACUACUUUCCAUCCAGCUCUGUUCUUUGCUUUUGUGGAGUUACUGGUGUUAACUUCCAUUUUAAAGUGAUUAGAUAUCCCCAGGAGAAUAUAAUGCAAAAUGGAUUAUGCCUGAUGACAUUUGCAAAAGUGCUACAAUGUCUCUGAAAAAUUUCUGAAAGUCUUGUUCAUGCCAACUGUCCAAGCCAGAUGAAAACUUACUCAGUUGUAAUUGGUGAGGGAAGAGCAAACGAUGCUCUAGUUAUGCAGUAAGUAGCAUUCUGCCUGAUGAUAAUUUCUAUAAGCUCAGCCAGGAAGAGGUUAUUUAUGUCUUGUCUGCUGCAUCUGCAUGCAGCCUAACUUGUUGGAGAUAGUGAUAUCUAUCUGCUAAAAAGGAUUUCUUAAAAGUGUGAGACACAGCUUUUUUCUAUGGGAUUUCAGUUUAAAAUUUUGUCAGGAAAAGAGUGCUGGUUGGUAUCACCGCUAUUGCAUUUAUUUGUAAUUACUUGAAUUAUUUGCAUCCUUAGGAGUAACCUGUGUUUUAACAUCUCUUUGUUCUUCUUCUUUUCUUAAUUCCUCACACAAAUGCUUGGCUGAAUGGAUGGAAGGCUAAAUCAGUAGUGGGGACAUGGACUUGCAUAUAAACCUUGCCCCUCAAAGGUUUCCAUGCACCUGACCAACAUUCCCUCUAAUUUUCUGUCCCACUGUGCGGGAGCCUCGUUGUGUGUGCAGGGUUGACAGGCCUUCAUUCAAAAUGGGAAGUAAACAAACCAAGCUACCAGUUGCCGGUGCCCAGCCCCAAUGGAACUCUGGAAUCUUCACUGGAUGACCUCAGAUCCUACAUAUGAGGUAUAUUGAAAAAUGAGGCAUAUUGAAAAAACGGAAUACUGCAAUCAAUCAUCUUAAAAUGUAUGAAGAUGUGAUAGUGCAAAAACAACUUUUAACAUGUUC